UCAUGCUAAAACCUCCUUCAAAAUACCUUGAUUUAGAAUACCCUAUUUCAAACUAUCCCCUCCGACCUUUAUCUCUGAAAAUCUAUUUAAACUUUAAAAGAAAAAACAACUAUCAUCCGUGACACAAAUUGAACUCUCUUGCCUCGGCUUCGACGUGUGCUGAAUUCUCUGACCUCAUAGAUUCGACGUCGUUCUCUCUCUAUUGCUUGCUCUCUAUCUCAAAGGCAUUCUACAUCACAAGUCUAUUCCACGUCCAUGGCAAUGCUGCUGACAAUGACUAUCAAUAUUCCUCUUCACCUUCUAACCUACACUGCAGCUUUUCUUGGGAAUUAUAAUUUGUAUGAUGUCUCUCACAUUCUUUUGCAGCGGUGAUAAGGAUCAGGCUCAAGAAAGAAUCAAUAAGUUGGCCAAAAUACUCAAAGAUUAGGAAGUAGGCUCCAUAAUACAUGAUGCAGGUGUUGGAAAUAUUAGCCGCAUCAUACAAAGGGAUGAAGGGCGAGCCCUGAUGCGGCAUUCAUUUCACUGGUCUACUGAAAAGUUAUAUUAUGAAGAGGAACCUCUGUUGCGUCAUUUGGAAUCUCCCCUAUUCAUUUAUCUUGAAUUGGACAAACUUAAAGGCUAUGAGAAUAAACGGUAUACAUCAUCCCGAGAUCGUCAAUGGCACCUGUACACGGUUUUGGAUAGCAAGCCACAACCAACUAUAAAAAUUAACAUAGAUGCUAGUCAAGACAACAGUUGAGGCAAUCUUGGAAGAACUGGCACAUGAAAUCCAUUCCUCUGUUGGUGUAGGAAUGCAUAGAUUAGGGCUUUUUGUAUGGGAAGUCAAGCUCUGGAUUGCAGCAUGUGGACAGGCAAAUGGUGCUUGGAGGAUCAUUGUAAACAAUGUGACUAGUCAUACAUGCAUUGUACAUGUUAAGUCUUUAUUUUCUUAAAAGUUUCAAGGAAUGCUUCCUAUAAUACCACAACUUUCCUAUUCAAAUUGUAACAGAUAAACCAGAAGAUUAGCCAUGUUAAUAAUGAACAGAAAGCAUUUUAUUAUGUA